rnacentral:tRNA from 1 species
GGUGGGGUGUCCGAGCGGUUUAAGGAGGCGGUCUUGAAAACCGUAGUCCCGCAAGGGACCGUGGGUUCGAAUCCCACCCCCACCGCCA